rnacentral:rRNA from 1 species
GCGCGAAAACUUUACAAUGCAGGCAACUGUGAUAAGGGAACCCCGAGUGCCCGUAUGGACGGGCUGUUCAGGUGCUUAAAAACCACCUGGAGAAAGGGCCGGGCAAGACCGGUGCCAGCCGCCGCGGUAAUACCGGCGGCUCGAGUGGUGGCCACUAUUACUGGGCUUAAAGCGUCCGUAGCUUGGUCGUUAAGCCUCUGGGGAAAUCUUCCGGCUCAACCGGAAGGCGUCUCAGGGGAACUGGCGACCUAGGGAUCGGGAGAGGUGAGAGGUACUCUGGGGGUAGGAGUGAAAUCCUGUAAUCCUCAGGGGACCACCUGUGGCGAAGGCGUCUCACCAGAACGACUCCGACAGUGAGGGACGAAAGCUGGGGGAGCAAACCGGAUUAGAUACCCGGGUAGUCCCAGCCGUAAACGAUGCGCGUUAGGUGUAUCGGUGACCACGAGUUACCGAGGUGCCGAAGGGAAACCGUGAAACGCGCCGCCUGGGAAGUACGGUCGCAAGGCUGAAACU